CAUAUUUUACCAUUGUGUUUCUGCUUUUGUUUUUCAACUAACAAAUUUCCUUUUUAUUUCAGAUAUUGACGAAUGUAACGCUCUCAUCGAUCAACAAUGCACGGGAACUGGCCAAACCUGAGCUAUUUUCCCUGGCGCUUUUUGUUGUAGCUGCAGUAAUCCAGGCAACAUUUGAACGAAGCAGGAACACAAUGUGUCGAAACGGAAACUGCUAUUCAAGGUCAGAUUCGCAUCAUAAAUAGGGUAUUCAUAUCUGCCUACAAUGACAUUAGCAGCAUUCAGUAUUUUCAAAUAACCAGAGUCAUAAUAAAUCAGCUAAUUUCGCUUUAUCGGCAAACAACAUCACUUCGUAAUUUUGUGGAAAUCAGAAUCAUCCGUUUAUUCCAAUCGUCCGUUGGAGUUGAAUAUGUUGUAGCUUUUAACAACACCCUGAACAUCACUAAUUCUGAAAUUCAAGAUGAGUUGGUGAACGCGUUGACUAAAAAUGAAAAUGGAACUUUUCUUGGCGACCUACAACUUAGCAAUUCGACCAAUACAACUGAAUUAAA